rnacentral:tRNA from 1 species
GGGUAGGUACCCAAGUGGUCAACGGGGUGAGUCUGUAAAACUCAUGCCUUCGGGCUUCGGGGGUUCGAAUCCCUCCCUACCCA